rnacentral:rRNA from 1 species
AUUGAACGCUGGCGGCAGGCCUAACACAUGCAAGUCGAGCGGAGUGGCGAACGGGUGAGUAACACGUGGGUGACCUGCCCUGCACUUCGGGAUAAGCCUGGGAAACUGGGUCUAAUACCGGAUAGUGUGGGAUGGGCCCGCGGCCUAUCCGCUUGUUGGUGGGGUAAUGGCCUACCAAGGCGGCGACGGGUAGCCGGCCUGAGAGGGUGGACGGCCACAUGGGGACUGGUAGACGGCCAGGACGCCGACGGGAGGAAGGAGUGGGGAAUAUUGCACAAUGGGCGGCAGCUUGAUGCAGCGACUCCGCGUGGGGGAUGACGGCCUUCGGGGUGUAAACUCCUUUCACCAUCGACGCGGUAGAUGGAGAAGAAGCACCGGCUAACUACGUGCCAGCAGCCGCGGUAAUA